UACAGAGGGUGCGAGCGUUGUCCGGAAUCACUGGGCGUAAAGGGCGCGUAGGUGGCGCGACAAGUCAGUGGUGAAAGCUCGACGCUUAACGUCGAAUCGGCCACUGAUACUGUUGGGCUUGAGCACUGUAGAGGCUAAUGGAAUUCCGGGUGUAGCGGUGGAAUGCGUAGAUAUCAGAAGGAACAUCAGUGGCGAAGGCGGCUUCCUGGACCAAUACUGACGAUCAGGUGCGAAAGCGUGGGGAGCAAACAGG
rnacentral:rRNA from 1 species